UACGUAGGUGGCAAGCGUUGUCCGGAUUUACUGGGCGUAAAGUGCUUGUAGGCGGUUCGUUAAGUCUGGUGUGAAAUCUCCCGGCUCAACUGGGGGGGGUCAUCGGAUACUGUCGGACUUGAGGUAGGUAGAGGAAAGCAGAAUUCCUGGUGUAGCGGUGAAAUGCGUAGAUAUCAGGAGGAAUACCAGUGGCGAAGGCGGCUUUCUGGGCUUAUCGUGACGCUGAGGAGCGAAAGCGUGGGGAGCAAACCGG
rnacentral:rRNA from 1 species